UGUUCGCCAUGGCGUCCCUGACGUCACGGCCAUGUCGACCUUCGAAAUCUCCAUGUCGUUCCUCUUUGUCGAUCCCAACGAUAUUCUCUAUUGGAGAAAGAUGAAGAAGAAGGCGUAGAGAGUCUGAUCGUGCUUGAUUGGCGAGUUUCCGACCCGUAGUUUGACAUUUUCACUUCGGCCGAAAUCGGCCGUCCAGCACACCGAGAGGAGGAUUGGGAAGAGGUUAGCGCAGCUUCGGAAGAGAAGAGCGUCGCCAUACUUCCGGUCGCUUUGUUGUUUGCAACGGGACCGGAUGUCUGCAAGAAUGCACCGUCUCGCUAGUUAGUAGAACGGCGUAGGUGAAUACAAGAUGUCUCUACGUGCAGAAGGUUUGCUGUUGCACACUUUUGCGGCAUUCGGGGGUCAUUUCAGUUCAUUUCAGGUCAUUGCGCACGGUCUGGUCAGAGAAGUGGUCAGGGCUUGGUCGCUUUCGAGCAGAAGCUCGAAGCUGUGCACCGUACAAGCAGAGGACGUGCUUUGUUGAGAGUAAUAGUUUGUAGAUAGUGUAGAUAGAUGUGUACAGUUGGUUAUUUCUACUUUGUAAGUAGUUUUACAAUAGUUUGUGUAGCUUA